UGCGUAGGCGGCGCGGAAAGUUGGGUGUGAAAUACCUCGGCUCAACCGAGGAACUGCGCCCAAAACUGCCGUGCUCGAGGGAGAUAGAGGUGAGCGGAACUUAGGGUGGAGCGGUGAAAUGCGUUGAUAUCCUAAGGAACACCGGUGGCGAAAGCGGCUCACUGGAUCUCUUCUGACGCUGAGGCACGAAAGCUAGGGUAGCGAACG
rnacentral:rRNA from 1 species